GGGUUGUGAGGUUAAGCGACUAAGCGUACACGGUGGAUGCCCUGGCAGUCAGAGGCGAUGAAGGACGUGCUAAUCUGCGAUAAGCGCCGGUAAGGUGAUAUGAACCGUUAUAACCGGCGAUUUCCGAAUGGGGAAACCCAGUGUGAUUCGUCACACUAUCAUUAACUGAAUCCAUAGGUUAAUGAGGCGAACCGGGGGAACUGAAACAUCUAAGUACCCCGAGGAAAAGAAAUCAACCGAGAUUCCCCCAGUAGCGGCGAGCGAACGGGGAGGAGCCCAGAGCCUGAAUCAGCAUGUGUGUUAGUGGAAGCGUCUGGAAAGGCGCGCGAUACAGGGUGACAGCCCCGUACACAAAAGCGCAUGUGCUGUGAGCUCGAUGAGUAGGGCGGGACACGUGGUAUCCUGUCUGAAUAUGGGGGGACCAUCCUCCAAGGCUAAAUACUCCUGACUGACCGAUAGUGAACCAGUACCGUGAGGGAAAGGCGAAAAGAACCCCGGCGAGGGGAGUGAAAAAGAACCUGAAACCGUGUACGUACAAGCAGUGGGAGCACCCUUCGGGGUGUGACUGCGUACCUUUUGUAUAAUGGGUCAGCGACUUAUAUUCUGUAGCAAGGUUAACCGUAUAGGGGAGCCGGAGGGAAACCGAGUCUUAACCGGGCGUUAAGUUGCAGGGUAUAGACCCGAAACCCGGUGAUCUAGCCAUGGGCAGGUUGAAGGUUGGGUAACACUAACUGGAGGACCGAACCGACUAAUGUUGAAAAAUUAGCGGAUGACCUGUGGCUGGGGGUGAAAGGCCAAUCAAACCGGGAGAUAGCUGGUUCUCCCCGAAAGCUAUUUAGGUAGCGCCUCGUGAAUUCAUCUCCGGGGGUAGAGCACUGUUUCGGCUAGGGGGCCAUCCCGGCUUACCAACCCGAUGCAAACUGCGAAUACCGGAGAAUGUUAUCACGGGAGACACACGGCGGGUGCUAACGUCCGUCGUGAAGAGGGAAACAACCCAGACCGCCAGCUAAGGUCCCAAAGUCAUGGUUAAGUGGGAAACGAUGUGGGAAGGCCCAGACAGCCAGGAUGUUGGCUUAGAAGCAGCCAUCAUUUAAAGAAAGCGUAAUAGCUCACUGGUCGAGUCGGCCUGCGCGGAAGAUGUAACGGGGCUAAACCAUGCACCGAAGCUGCGGCAGCGAACGUAUCACCCAAGACAACUUUACGGAGUUGACGAUUGACGGAGCGAAGCGACGUCAAAGCGUUCAUUAAAGUCGAGUUGGCUUAGGGAUACGUUCGUUGGGUAGGGGAGCGUUCUGUAAGCCUGUGAAGGUGUGUCGUGAGGCAUGCUGGAGGUAUCAGAAGUGCGAAUGCUGACAUAAGUAACGAUAAAGCGGGUGAAAAGCCCGCUCGCCGGAAGACCAAGGGUUCCUGUCCAACGUUAAUCGGGGCAGGGUGAGUCGACCCCUAAGGCGAGGCCGAAAGGCGUAGUCGAUGGGAAACGGGUUAAUAUUCCCGUACUUGGUGUUACUGCGAAGGGGGGACGGAGAAGGCUAUGUUGGCCGGGCGACGGUUGUCCCGGUUUAAGCGUGUAGGUGUGUGUUCCAGGUAAAUCCGGUUCACUUUAACACUGAGGCGUGACGACGAGGCACUACGGUGCUGAAGCAACAAAUGCCCUGCUUCCAGGAAAAGCCUCUAAGCAUCAGGUAACAUCAAAUCGUACCCCAAACCGACACAGGUGGUCAGGUAGAGAAUACCAAGGCGCUUGAGAGAACUCGGGUGAAGGAACUAGGCAAAAUGGUGCCGUAACUUCGGGAGAAGGCACGCUGACACGUAGGUGAAGUGAUUUACUCAUGGAGCUGAAGUCAGUCGAAGAUACCAGCUGGCUGCAACUGUUUAUUAAAAACACAGCACUGUGCAAACACGAAAGUGGACGUAUACGGUGUGACGCCUGCCCGGUGCCGGAAGGUUAAUUGAUGGGGUCAGCGCAAGCGAAGCUCCUGAUCGAAGCCCCGGUAAACGGCGGCCGUAACUAUAACGGUCCUAAGGUAGCGAAAUUCCUUGUCGGGUAAGUUCCGACCUGCACGAAUGGCGUAAUGAUGGCCAGGCUGUCUCCACCCGAGACUCAGUGAAAUUGAACUCGCUGUGAAGAUGCAGUGUACCCGCGGCAAGACGGAAAGACCCCGUGAACCUUUACUAUAGCUUGACACUGAACAUUGAGCCUUGAUGUGUAGGAUAGGUGGGAGGCUUUGAAGUGUGGACGCCAGUCUGCAUGGAGCCGACCUUGAAAUACCACCCUUUAAUGUUUGAUGUUCUAACGUGGACCCGUAAUCCGGGUUGCGGACAGUGUCUGGUGGGUAGUUUGACUGGGGCGGUCUCCUCCUAAAGAGUAACGGAGGAGCACGAAGGUUGGCUAAUCCUGGUCGGACAUCAGGAGGUUAGUGCAAUGGCAUAAGCCAGCUUGACUGCGAGCGUGACGGCGCGAGCAGGUGCGAAAGCAGGUCAUAGUGAUCCGGUGGUUCUGAAUGGAAGGGCCAUCGCUCAACGGAUAAAAGGUACUCCGGGGAUAACAGGCUGAUACCGCCCAAGAGUUCAUAUCGACGGCGGUGUUUGGCACCUCGAUGUCGGCUCAUCACAUCCUGGGGCUGAAGUAGGUCCCAAGGGUAUGGCUGUUCGCCAUUUAAAGUGGUACGCGAGCUGGGUUUAGAACGUCGUGAGACAGUUCGGUCCCUAUCUGCCGUGGGCGCUGGAGAACUGAGGGGGGCUGCUCCUAGUACGAGAGGACCGGAGUGGACGCAUCACUGGUGUUCGGGUUGUCAUGCCAAUGGCACUGCCCGGUAGCUAAAUGCGGAAGAGAUAAGUGCUGAAAGCAUCUAAGCACGAAACUUGCCCCGAGAUGAGUUCUCCCUGAGACUUAG
rnacentral:rRNA from 1 species